rnacentral:rRNA from 1 species
AACGAACGCUGGCGGCAUGCCUAACACAUGCAAGUCGAACGAGAUCUUCGGGUCUAGUGGCGCACGGGUGCGUAACGCGUGGGAAUCUGCCCUUUGGUUCGGAAUAACAGUUGGAAACGACUGCUAAUACCGGAUGAUGACGAAAGUCCAAAGAUUUAUCGCCAGAGGAUGAGCCCGCGUAGGAUUAGCUAGUUGGUGUGGUAAAGGCGCACCAAGGCGACGAUCCUUAGCUGGUCUGAGAGGAUGAUCAGCCACACUGGGACUGAGACACGGCCCAGACUCCUACGGGGGGCAGCAGUGGUGAAUAUUGGACAAUGGGCGAAAGCUUGAUCCAGCAAUGCCGCGUGUGUGAUGAAGGCCUUAGGGUUGUAAAGCUCUUUUACCCGGGAUGAUAAUGACAGUACCGGGAGAAUAAGCUCCGGCUAACUCCGUGCCAGCCGCCGCCGUAA